rfam:Brachypodium distachyon strain Bd21 chromosome 1, whole genome shotgun sequence.
CAUAUACUCCCUCCGAUCCAUAUCAAUUGUCGAAAUAUUAUAUGUAUCUAGACGCUUUUUAGGCAUAGAUACAUCCAUAUUUGGGCAAAUUUGAGACAAUUAAUAUGGCUCGGAGGGAGUAUCAU